rnacentral:rRNA from 1 species
UACGUAGGUGGCAAGCGUUGUCCGGAUUUACUGGGCGUAAAGAGCGCGCAGGCGGUCGUUCAAGUCGCGUGUGAAAGCCCCCGGCUCAACUGGGGAGGGUCACGCGAUACUGAUCGACUCGAAGGCAGGAGAGGGAAGUGGAAUUCCGCGUGUAGUGGUGAAAUGCGUAGAGAUGCGGAGGAACACCAGUGGCGAAAGCGACUUUCUGGUCCUUAACUGACGCUGAGGCGCGAAAGCAUGGGGAGCGAACGGG